AUACCUCAGGAUUGUUCUCUGGGAAGUUUAACCAGAAAGACUCUGCAUUCAGGAAUAUGAGGCCCAGAGGAGGAAGAAGCAGAGCCCAGGAACCCCAAGCAGAAGAGACCAGCAAGGCCAUGAGGAUGCAUACAGAAGAUGUCUAGAUUGGUGGUCCUGGGCCAUGGCAGGAAAGUCAGAGCUGAAACUUGUGGCCAAGGAUGAAGCCUGACAUGGUGUCAUCUUUUCUUACAAUCUGCGCUGGGAACUUCACCUCUGGAAUCACUCUUGGGUGUGAAAACUAUGAUAAAGUGAGAACCCGACUGGGAAGCCGCAGACCUCGCUGACCUUGG